rnacentral:tRNA from 1 species
UAGCCUAGUGGUUAAGGCUAUGGAUCGCCAUUCCGGAGAUGGCGGGUUCGAUUCCCGU